rnacentral:rRNA from 1 species
UACGAAGGGGCUAGCGUUGUUCGGAAUCACUGGGCGUAAAGGGCGCGUAGGCGGCCGAUCAAGUCGGGGGUGAAAGCCUGUGGCUCAACCACAGAAUGGCCUUCGAUACUGUUUGGCUUGAGACCGGAAGAGGUCAGUGGAACUGCGAGUGUAGAGGUGAAAUUCGUAGAUAUUCGCAAGAACACCAGUGGCGAAGGCGGCUCACUGGCCCGGUACUGGACGCUGAGG